rnacentral:misc_RNA from 1 species
AAGUCGUAACAAGGUUUCCGUAGGUGAACCUGCGGAAGGAUCAUUAACGUACCUCCCGGCGGAGGCCGACGCGUCCCUGCUCCGGUCGGAAACGGCCGUGCAGCGGGACGCCCGGCCCUGCCACAACCUUUACCAAACCACUUGUGCACCUCAUCGGCGGAAGGCCUUUGCGGGCCGGAAGCCGCUUCACAAAACACGAAAAACUCAAAGUAUGACAAGCGACUCUUUGUCGCCUAACAUUUGAACAACUUUCAACAACGGAUCUCUUGGCUCUC